CUUCUCAACACUCAAAUUUUCGUUUACAGAGAAACGAGAUCCAUAGCAGAAACCAUUCUCAUCUCUCAAAUCUUUGAUAGCCAAAUCGUGUGAACCCUAAACCCAAAUCAAAAUUGAUCUGAAAUUGAAGGCUCGACAAGGGCGAUUUGCUCAGUCCGUUGACAUGACGAAAACAAACAAAGGUAAUUCAAGAAAAAAUUUCCAACUUUUUUCUCAUAUCACUUCUACUGCCUUCGUUUUUCAAAGUAAUAUUUUUUGUUAAAAUCAUUGGAUUUGUUGUUCAAGUAUUUUUAUUUUUAUUUUUAUGUAAGAUGCAGUCAAUGUAUUUGACGAAAAUGGAGAUUGGUUUAUCACCGUUGAUGGACUGAAAUUGAUCUUAGCUUCAGCUGUGCUUAAGCAAGAGAGAGCUGCAGAGGAUUGUAUGAAUAUGAUAGUGAAGGUUGAUGGUGAUGGUGUGAUGAAUUUUACAGAGUUUAAGCAAAUGGUGAAAGGGGGUGGAUUUGCUGCAUUAAUUUAGAGGGUGUUUGUGAGUGAUUGUUCACCCCCGAAAGAAUUGAUUUUUUUGACCGUUAUUUCAAUAUUUCAGCUGUAAAGUUUGACUUCUUCUCUUAUAGGUGGCUUCCACUUUUCUCCGAUCAAAAAAUAAUUCUAAAAAUCGCUCCCAAACGGGGCCUUAAUGUGAAUGCGUGUGAGUGUUUUUUUCCGGAAACUUUUUUAUAGGCUAUGUAAAUAUAUUCAUUCAAAGUACUGUUCACCAAAUUCAAGCAUUUUUGAACAAUAAUUUUGGCUUGUUUAAUAUGAUGAUUUAUACUUUUGGACUCGAGAGAUUUAUAUCUCCAAUUUUGUGUUUUUUCUGUUUGAUGGGAAAGAACGAGUGGAUUUUGAGUGCAGUAACGUCUCGCCCGACAAACGAAAAUCAUUAAAAGAUGGAGGUCAGCCCAAUGGUUUUAACGACAGAUGGAAUGUGAUUCCAAUUGAAGAUAAGUAGCCUUUUUUUUGCAAAUGUUGGCAUUGUGCUAUGGCUAUCUUCACAAUUUUAAUUUCCACUAUUCAUGCUUUAGUAGUAAGAACUAGACUUUUUCAUACUUCAAAUUUUAUCUCUCUUAGCCUUUGAUGUUUGAUGCCUUGAUGUACUAGAGCCUAUCAAUAGUUUAAUUAGUUUAAUUAUGUUGUGAUGU
rnacentral:lncRNA from 1 species